rnacentral:rRNA from 1 species
AUUGAACGCUGGCGGCAUGCUUUACACAUGCAAGUCGAACGGUAACAGGCCGCAAGGUGCUGACGAGUGGCGAACGGGUGAGUAAUGCAUCGGAACGUGCCCAGUCGUGGGGGAUAACUACUCGAAAGAGUAGCUAAUACCGCAUACGAUCUAUGGAUGCAUGCGGGGGACCGUAAGGCCUCGCGCGAUUGGAGCGGCCGAUGUCAGAUUAGGUAGUUGGUGGGGUAAAGGCGCACCAAGCCAACGAUCUGUAGCUGGUCUGAGAGGACGACCAGCCACACUGGGACUGGGACACGGCCCAGACUCCUACGGGAGGCAGCAGUGGGGAAUUUUGGACAAUGGGCGCAAGCCUGAUCCAGCAAUGCCGCGUGCAGGAAGAAGGCCUUCGGGUUGGAAACUGCUUUUGUACGGAACGAAACGGCUCUGGUUAAUACCCGGGGCUAAUGACGGUACCGUAAGAAUAAGCACCGGCUAACUACGUG